rnacentral:rRNA from 1 species
UACGUAGGGUGCAAGCGUUAAUCGGAAUUACUGGGCGUAAAGCGUGCGCAGGCGGUGAUGUAAGACAGAUGUGAAAUCCCCGGGCUCAACCUGGGAACUGCAUUUGUGACUGCAUCGCUGGAGUGCGGCAGAGGGGGAUGGAAUUCCGCGUGUAGCAGUGAAAUGCGUAGAUAUGCGGAGGAACACCGAUGGCGAAGGCAAUCCCCCUGGGCCUGCACUGACGCUCAUGCACGAAAGCGUGGGGAGCAAACAGG